rnacentral:lncRNA from 1 species
AGCAUGUUCAUGCAUCAUGAAUGCCAUGUGAUGAUUUAGGUUGUUUGCAUUAGAAUUCACGAAUAUGUUGCAUUGCAUUCUAUGAUGUUGAUGUGGAUUGGUUAUUGGAUGACCCUUUAGUCCUCAUAUGAUGAUGAUACGGCAUGAUAUGGUAUGGAAGUUCGGUUGACCCAUUCUACGUUCCGGCACUAUGUAAGAGAAAGACCGGUUGACCCAUUCU